GACGAACGCUGGCGGCGUGCUUAACACAUGCAAGUCGUACGGUAAGGCCCUUUCGGGGGUCCACGAGUGGCGAACGGGUGAGUAACACGUGAGUAACCUGCCCACAACUUUGGGAUAACGCUAGGAAACUGGUGCUAAUACUGGAUAUGUUCUCCUGCUGCAUGGUGGGGGUUGGAAAGCUCCGGCGGUUGUGGAUGGACUCGCGGCCUAUCAGCUUGUUGGUGGGGUAGUGGCCUACCAAGGCGGCGACGGGUAGCCGGCCUGAGAGGGUGACCGGCCACAUUGGGACUGAGAUACGGCCCAGACUCCUACGGGAGGCAGCAGUGGGGAAUAUUGCACAAUGGGCGCAAGCCUGAUGCAGCAACGCCGCGUGCGGGAUGACGGCCUUCGGGUUGUAAACCGCUUUCAGCAGGGACGAAGCUUUUUGUGACGGUACCUGCAGAAGAAGCACCGGCUAACUACGUG
rnacentral:rRNA from 1 species